CCCACCGCGGCCGGGCAGGACCGGGACGGGGGGGCGGAGGCCGCGGCCGCUCCGGGACUGGGGGCGACUUGGGCCCAGGGGAGAGGGGCUGUGGACUCUUGGGCCCCCGCCCUCCCGGCGCGGCUUCCCUCGGAGAGGCGUCUGUUGGGAACUGUGGGAAUGUUGGGAGUCCUCCGUCUGUCUGGAAGUGGCAGGAAGAUUCGAACUGAAUGUGGGGAAGGGGCUGAACUGCGGCGUAACCCUAAAGGACUCAGGAGGCCGCGCUUGUAAUCCUUGCUGGCUUCCCUAGCUUCCUUGCCGCAGGCAGCCAGUCCUUCCUCGUCACUUCCAACUUUUAUCCCGACUUGGAUUGUCCGCGGUCUCCACUUGUCCGUCCCCUUGAGCCUGGUCUUUGGAAGGGAAGAGAUUUAUGACAGGCCUCGGAUGAUCCCUUGGAUCUUGCUUUUUAACUCAAAACGUGCCCCCAGGCGAUUCAGCAGGUUAUGAUAUCUGGAGAAUGGAAGAAUAAAUCAUUAUGAUCCAAA